CGCUUUUCCAACAUCUCGUCAUUUAAACAAUUACUCAAGCAAACCGUGAGCAAACAUACCUGACUUUAUUCAAUGCAUCCUUUGACAUAGACUUCCCAUGCACAUGGACACUGUCUCGUGACUGUCCUUGCCAUUGAGAAUUGACUUUACAUACAGUAUACAAUUUAGUCUUAUGUUGACCUAUGUUAUUUUAACGUUAUCGGGAAGGCGCCUCGCAUGGGUACUUCAGUCCCGUUCGCGCCUUUGCCGAUUGGUUAUUUUCAAAUGUAUUUGUACAUAUUUAUAAAUAUUAACAAAUAAAGUUGUAAGUAAAUAUUUACAUUGACCUUAAAUUAUUAUUCCAAGUAGAAGAGUUCUGACUUGUAAAUAUUCCUUAACGUACGGAACAUAUUAAGUUGUGUGUAUUUAUGUAUACGAUCAUGCAUUUUAAUCUCCAGUUUGCUUUCACUUUUGUAGAAAUAUAAUUCAUGGUAGUGAUUCUGUAGACAGCGCAAAAACAGAAAUUGCUUUGUGGUUCCGUGAGAAUGAACUAGUUGACUGGAAUCCAGAGCUUGGAAGGUGGAUUAAUGAGGAUAAUUAGUGCAGAGUUUUUUUUAAUGAAUGCAAUAGCGAAUUUGAUAUAAUAUAUGUCAAUUGAAAAGUAAUAAUACAAUACAUUAGAUAGAAUUUGAAUUUUGAUAAAAUCUCAAUUAUUUUCAAUGCUGCUGUUGCAGUGAAUAAAAUUAUCUAUGCCCUGUCAUAUAUUGUACAUUGCUUCGAGUUGAUAGAUAAUCUGGUAUAUGGUAUAGACGUGAGAAGGCUGGGACCUCUGGUUCCCCACCCAACUCUGAC